GUGUCUGUAGCCUAGUGGUAAAAGGCAGCACUCUGGUAUGUGUCUUGGCUAUCAUGCUGAAGUUGCAGGUUUGAAUCCCAUCAGACACA